AUUGAACGCUGGCGGCAUGCUUUACACAUGCGAGUCGAACGGCAGCGCGGGCUUCGGCCUGGCGGCGAGUGGCGAACGGGUGAGUAAUGCAUCGGAACGUGCCCAGUAGUGGGGGAUAGCCCGGCGAAAGCCGGAUUAAUACCGCAUACGACCUGAGGGUGAAAGCGGGGGACCGAAAGGCCUCGCGCUAUUGGAGCGGCCGAUGUCGGAUUAGCUAGUUGGUGGGGUAAAGGCUUACCAAGGCGACGAUCCGUAGCUGGUCUGAGAGGACGACCAGCCACACUGAGACUGAGACACGGCCCAGACUCCUACGGGAGGCAGCAGUGGGGAAUUUUGGACAAUGGGGGCAACCCUGAUCCAGCCAUGCCGCGUGCGGGAAGAAGGCCUUCGGGUUGUAAACCGCUUUUGUUCGGGAAGAAAUCCUCUGGGCUAAUACCCCGGGGGGAUGACGGUACCGGAAGAAUAAGCACCGGCUAACUACGUG
rnacentral:rRNA from 1 species